rnacentral:rRNA from 1 species
CACGUAGGGCGCAAGCGUUGUCCGGAAUUAUUGGGCGUAAAGAGCUCGUAGGCGGUCUGUUGCGUCCGCUGUGAAAACCCGGGGCUUAACCCCUGGCUUGCAGUGGAUACGGACAGACUGGAGGUAGGUAGGGGAGAAUGGAAUUCCAGGUGUAGCGGUGAAAUGCGUAGAUAUCUGGAGGAACACCGGUGGCGAAGGCGGCGUUCUGGACUGCAACUGACACUGAAAAACGAAAGCCAGGGGAGCAAACGGG